AUCGGUGUGAAGCCAGGGGAAACAUUCCUACUCCUCUGGCUCACGAUCAAGAUAUUUAGAAAGUAGGGAAGCUAACGUUUUAACUUUUUUGCUGCAUCAUCUAACAUUCCCUUGAAGGAGUUGCUGCAUUUGCUUGCUUGGCCUGAAAUUUCCUCAAAUUGUGGAACCGGGGUCCUUAUCCUUUGCCUUCAUGCUCACCAGAAACAGUCUUUCACACCCCUGGCAGUUAAGUUGCAUCAAUUCAUUUUGACAUGGAGUUAAUCACAAUCGAUGUUGAUUUCGCAAUGACUUGUUCGGAGAAGAAAACAAGCUGACUGCAAACAUUAGGGACUUCAACAUCUUGCCUUUUACCACAUCAAAAUCAUCGGAAUCUGCCAUUUGCCCUGAACUCAUGGACCUUUGAUAUUGUGCAGCAGACAUAAAGAUUACCGAAUCUCUAGAUCCAAACGAUCAGGCGGCUGAGUGCAAUAACCUUGCUGGAACACAAUAAGGAGUUGGAACCAUCUGUUCUGGGAAAUCCCAAACACCAUCCUGCUUGUUAAGACUAAAUAAUAACCCUUGAGACAUAUGCAGUUAUCUUUGGUGCUUGUACCUGGCAAAUAAAAUGCAACGAUAUUUCAA